rnacentral:rRNA from 1 species
UAAGAUGAGAGUUUGAUCCUGGCUCAGGACGAACGCUGGCGGCGUGCCUAAUACAUGCAAGUCGAACGCUUCUUUUUCCACCGGAGCUUGCUCCACCGGAAAAAGAGGAGUGGCGAACGGGUGAGUAACACGUGGGUAACCUGCCCAUCAGAAGGGGAUAACACUUGGAAACAGGUGCUAAUACCGUAUAACAAUCGAAACCGCAUGG